UAGUCUACGCCGUAAACGAUGGAUACUAGUUGUUUGGUUUUCGGACUGAGUGACUAAGCGAAAGUGAUAAGUAUCCCACCUGGGGAGUACGUUCGCAAGAAUGAAACUCAAAGGAAUUGACGGGGGCCCGCACAAGCGGUGGAGCAUGUGGUUUAAUUCGAUGAUACGCGAGGAACCUUACCAGGGCUUAAAUGUAGUCUGACAGCUUUAGAGAUAGAGUUUUCUUCGGACAGAUUACAAGGUGCUGCAUGGUUGUCGUCAGCUCGUGCCGUGAGGUGUCAGGUUAAGUCCUAUAACGAGCGCAACCCCUGUUGUUAGUUGCCAGCGAGUAAUAUCGGGGACUCUAAAGAUACUGCCUGUGUAAGCAGAGAGGAAGGAGGGGACGACGUCAAAUCAUCAUGGCCUUUAUGCCUAGGGGCUACACACGUGCUACAAUGGUGGGGGACAAAGAGCUGCAAGCCUGCGAAGGUAAGCGAAUCU
rnacentral:rRNA from 1 species